CCCAUUAGAACUCCGCAGUUAAGCGUGCUCGGGCUAGAGUAGUACUUGGAUGGGUGACUACCCGGGAAGUACUAGUGGUUUACAUGC
rnacentral:rRNA from 1 species